CGCCUGCCGCCACCCACCCAACUCCUUUCCUCCUCGUCUCCUCUCCCAACCAUCCUGCGGCACCUAGAACGGCGAUUCUGCUCCAGCCCCAGGCAGAUGGAUCGUCACCGCGGGUGUGGAGUCUCCGCAGGAUGUCACCGCACUCUGCAGAAGCUCAUCACGCACUCGGGCGUUUGUAACUCCCAGGCCAUGGCGUCCCGGCGGACCGGGUGGGCAGAGCCCGCAGGAAGCAUCCGGGCCGUGGGGGUUGUGGAGGGCGGAAGGCACCAGCGGGUCCUGGGGCCGUGGAAAUGGAGCCCCCCCGCCAUCCCCCCCACCCCCCGCAGGAAGGGCCUGAAGAAUUCACCUGCCGUUCCAUGGGUAAGCCCCUCGUUAAAACGGAGCCUUUGGGGGUGUCAGCAGAGUGGGGUGUCUGGAAGGGCCCCAGGCUCAGACCCCUUGGGUGGCACUUUUCUCCCUCCCUGUGCGGCUCUAAACAGCUGACCUCUCUGUUAUAAAGGCCACUUUGCAGAGCUGGGGAGACCACAACAGACCAGGCAUGGGGCCGAGCUGGGCGUGCCAACCUGGAGUAAAACGCCAGGGCCUGCCUCCUGGGUCGGCAAACUCAGCAGGGAGCCCCGCAGAAAAGGCCCCGGGCCACGCCAGGACCUGGGUCUAGGCUACCCUCUGCGGUGAGGCUGGGAGCAGGGGUGUGACUUGUGGGACCUUGGCUGCUGUGUCCACACAACUGGUCUCUAAGGGUCCUUUAGCAACCCCGGCCAGGGAUGGGGCAGGGACAGGCAGCCGAGAGGGGAGGGGGGAUGGAGGCUGCCUGAAGGCGUUGUGGUGGCAGCAGCUCCCAUGGUCACGGUCACCUUGUCCAGGGAAGCCUCUCCCAGACGCCUGGCCCCGGCCGGGUGGCGUCUGGCUUUAGAGGAAUCACUGAAAGCUUCACCCUCGGACUGUGACGCUCUUGGGCAGCGGGAGCUGCGCAAAUUGCACGGUCACAGCCUGAGUGACGGACUCAGCCUCUGGUUGUUCGCCAAGUGUUUAUUAAGUUCCGACUGUAUGCAAGUGCUGUGCCUGGGGUGGGGGUGGGAACAGGACAGGCUGGGACGGACGCCGUGCUCCACGGGCUCUGAAAGCAGACAGGAUGCAGAGCUGGAGGCAACGUGAUUCAAGGUGGGCACGGCCUGGGGGCCGGGGCCGGGGGUGUGUGUGUUGGGGGUGGGGUGCGGAGCGA
rnacentral:lncRNA from 1 species